AGCAGCCGCGGUAAUUCCAGCUCCAAUAGCGUAUAUUAAAGUUGUUGCAGUUAAAAAGCUCGUAGUUGAAUUUCGGGGUUAGUAGGUUGGUCAUGCCACUGGUAUGUACUGAUCUUACUGAUUCCUCCUUCCUGAUGAACCGUAAUGCCAUUAAUUUGGUGUUGCGGGGAGACUGGACUGUUACUUUGAAAAAAUUAGAGUGUUUAAAGCAGGCUAACGCUUGAAUACAUUAGCAUGGAAUAAUGAAAUAGGACGUUCGAUCCUAUUUUGUUGGUUUCUAGGAUUGACGUAAUGAUUAAUAGGGAUAGUUGGGGGCAUUAGUAUUCAAUUGUCAGAGGUGAAAUUCUUGGAUUUAUUGAAGACUAACUACUGCGAAAGCAUUUGCCAAGGAUGUUUUCGUUAAUCAAGAACGAAAGUUAGGGGAUCGAAGACGAUCAGAUACCGUCGUAGUCUUAACCAUAAACUAUAGCCGACUAGGGAUCGGAUGAUGUUAAUUUUUUAAUGACUCAUUCGGCGCCUU
rnacentral:rRNA from 1 species